rnacentral:rRNA from 1 species
GGUUAAGCGACUAAGCGUACACGGUGGAUGCCCUGGCAGUCAGAGGCGAUGAAGGACGUGCUAAUCUGCGAAAAGCGUCGGUAAGGUGAUAUGAACCGUUAUAACCGGCGAUGUCCGAAUGGGGAAACCCAGUGUGAUUCGUCACACUAUCGUUAACUGAAUACAUAGGUUAACGAGGCGAACCGGGGGAACUGAAACAUCUAAGUACCCCGAGGAAAAGAAAUCAACCGAGAUUCCCCCAGUAGCGGCGAGCGAACGGGGAGCAGCCCAGAGUCUGAAUCAGCUUGUGUGUUAGUGGAACGGUCUGGAAAGUCCGACGGUACAGGGUGAUAGUCCCGUACACCAAAAUGCACAGGUUGUGAACUCGAAGAGUAGGGCGGGACACGUGGUAUCCUGUCUGAAUAUGGGGGGACCAUCCUCCAAGGCUAAAUACUCCUGACUGACCGAUAGUGAACCAGUACCGUGAGGGAAAGGCGAAAAGAACCCCGGCGAGGGGAGUGAAAAAGAACCUGAAACCGUGUACGUACAAGCAGUGGGAGCACCUUCGGGUGUGACUGCGUACCUUUUGUAUAAUGGGUCAGCGACUUAUAUUCUGUAGCAAGGUUAACCGUAUAGGGGAGCCGCAGGGAAACCGAGUCUUAACUGGGCGUUAAGUUGCAGGGUAUAGACCCGAAACCCGGUGAUCUAGCCAUGGGCAGGUUGAAGGUUGGGUAACACUAACUGGAGGACCGAACCGACUAAUGUUGAAAAAUUAGCGGAUGACUUGUGGCUGGGGGUGAAAGGCCAAUCAAACCGGGAGAUAGCUGGUUCUCCCCGAAAGCUAUUUAGGUAGCGCCUCGUGAACUCAUCUUCGGGGGUAGAGCACUGUUUCGGCUAGGGGGUCAUCCCGACUUACCAACCCGAUGCAAACUACGAAUACCGAAGAAUGUUAUCACGGGAGACACACGGCGGGUGCUAACGUCCGUCGUGAAGAGGGAAACAACCCAGACCGCCAGCUAAGGUCCCAAAGUCAUGGUUAAGUGGGAAACGAUGUGGGAAGGCACAGACAGCCAGGAUGUUGGCUUAGAAGCAGCCAUCAUUUAAAGAAAGCGUAAUAGCUCACUGGUCGAGUCGGCCUGCGCGGAAGAUGUAACGGGGCUAAACCAUGCACCGAAGCUGCGGCAGCGACACUAUGUGUUGUUGGGUAGGGGAGCGUUCUGUAAGCCUGCGAAGGUGUGCUGUGAGGCAUGCUGGAGGUAUCAGAAGUGCGAAUGCUGACAUAAGUAACGAUAAAGCGGGUGAAAAGCCCGCUCGCCGGAAGACCAAGGGUUCCUGUCCAACGUUAAUCGGGGCAGGGUGAGUCGACCCCUAAGGCGAGGCCGAAAGGCGUAGUCGAUGGGAAACAGGUUAAUAUUCCUGUACUUGGUGUUACUGCGAAGGGGGACGGAGAAGGCUAUGUUAGCCGGGCGACGGUUGUCCCGGUUUAAGCAUGUAGGCUGGUUAUCCAGGCAAAUCCGGAUAAUCAAGGCUGAGGUGUGAUGACGAGGCACUACGGUGCUGAAGUAACAAAUGCCCUGCUUCCAGGAAAAGCCUCUAAGCAUCAGGUAACAUCAAAUCGUACCCCAAACCGACACAGGUGGUCAGGUAGAGAAUACCAAGGCGCUUGAGAGAACUCGGGUGAAGGAACUAGGCAAAAUGGUGCCGUAACUUCGGGAGAAGGCACGCUGGUGUGUAGGUGAAGCCCCUGCGGGUGGAGCUGAGACCAGUCGAAGAUACCAGCUGGCUGCAACUGUUUAUUAAAAACACAGCACUGUGCAAACACGAAAGUGGACGUAUACGGUGUGACGCCUGCCCGGUGCCGGAAGGUUAAUUGAUGGGGUUAUCCGUAAGGAGAAGCUCUUGAUCGAAGCCCCGGUAAACGGCGGCCGUAACUAUAACGGUCCUAAGGUAGCGAAAUUCCUUGUCGGGUAAGUUCCGACCUGCACGAAUGGCGUAAUGAUGGCCAGGCUGUCUCCACCCGAGACUCAGUGAAAUUGAACUCGCUGUGAAGAUGCAGUGUACCCGCGGCAAGACGGAAAGACCCCGUGAACCUUUACUAUAGCUUGACACUGAACAUUGAGCCUUGAUGUGUAGGAUAGGUGGGAGGCUUUGAAGCGUGGACGCCAGUCUGCGUGGAGCCAACCUUGAAAUACCACCCUUUAAUGUUUGAUGUUCUAACGUUGGCCCCUUACCGGGGUUGCGGACAGUGUCUGGUGGGUAGUUUGACUGGGGCGGUCUCCUCCCAAAGCGUAACGGAGGAGCACGAAGGUUAGCUAAUCCUGGUCGGACAUCAGGAGGUUAGUGCAAUGGCAUAAGCUAGCUUGACUGCGAGCGUGACGGCGCGAGCAGGUGCGAAAGCAGGUCAUAGUGAUCCGGUGGUUCUGAAUGGAAGGGCCAUCGCUCAACGGAUAAAAGGUACUCCGGGGAUAACAGGCUGAUACCGCCCAAGAGUUCAUAUCGACGGCGGUGUUUGGCACCUCGAUGUCGGCUCAUCACAUCCUGGGGCUGAAGUAGGUCCCAAGGGUAUGGCUGUUCGCCAUUUAAAGUGGUACGCGAGCUGGGUUUAGAACGUCGUGAGACAGUUCGGUCCCUAUCUGCCGUGGGCGCUGGAGAAUUGAGGGGGCUGCUCCUAGUACGAGAGGACCGGAGUGGACGCAUCACUGGUGUUCGGGUUGUCAUGCCAAUGGCACUGCCCGGUAGCUAAAUGCGGAAGAGAUAAGUGCUGAAAGCAUCUAAGCACGAAACUUGCCCCGAGAUGAGUUCUCCCUGAGACUUUAAGUCUCCUGAAGGAACGUUGAAGACGACGACGUUGAUAGGCCGGGUGUGUAAGCGCAGCGAUGCGUUGAGCUAACCGGUACUAAUGAACCGUGAGGCUUAACCUU